CCAGUAAUGGUGGGAAAUUUAAGGAGACCGCCGGUGACAAACCGGAGGAAGGUGGGGAUGACGUCAAGUCAUCAUGGCCCUUACGACCAGGGCUACACACGUACUACAAUGGUAGGGACAGAGGGGUGCAAACCCGCGAGGGCAAGCCAAUCCCAGAAACCCUAUUUCAGUCCGGAUUGGAGUUUGCAACUUGAAUCCAUGAAGUUGGAAUCGCUAGUAAUCGCAGAUCAGCAUUGUUGCGGUGAAUACGUUCCCGGGCCUUGUACACACCGCCCGUCACACCAUGGGAGUUUGUUGCACCAGAAGCAGGUAGCUUAACCU
rnacentral:rRNA from 1 species